rnacentral:rRNA from 1 species
AGUGAACGCUGGCGGUAGGCCUAACACAUGCAAGUCGAACGGCAGCACAGUAAGAUCUUGCUCUUACGGGUGGCGAGUGGCGGACGGGUGAGGAAUACAUCGUAAUCUACUUUUUCGUGGGGGAUAACGUAGGGAAACUUACUCUAAUACCGCAUACGACCUACGGGUGAAAGCAGGGGAUCUUCGGACCUUGCGCGAUUGAAUUAGCCGAUGUCGGAUUAGCUAGUUGGCGGGGUAAAGUCCCACCAAGGCGACGAUCCGUAGCUGGUCUGAGAGGAUGAUCAGUCACACUGGAAGUGAGACACGGUCAAGACUCCUACGAGAGGCAGCAGUGGGGAAUAUUGGACAAUGGGCGCAAGCAUGAUACAGCCAUAGCGAGUGGGUGAAGAAGGCCUUCGGGUUGUAAAGCCCAUUUGUGGGGAAAGAAAAGCAGCAGGUUAAUACCCCGCUGUUCUGACGGUACCCAAAGAAUAAGCACCGGCUAACUUCGUG